rnacentral:rRNA from 1 species
UUGGUUAAGUUAGAAAGGGCGCACGGUGGAUGCCUUGGCACUAGGAGCCGAAGAAGGACGGGACUAACACCGAUAUGCUUUGGGGAGCUGUACGUAAGCGUUGAUCCAGAGAUUUCCGAAUGGGGGAACCCACUAUCUUUAGUCGGAUAGUAUCCUUACGUGAAUACAUAGCGUGAGGAAGGCAGACCCAGGGAACUGAAACAUCUAAGUACCUGGAGGAAGAGAAAGAAAAAUCGAUUUCCUGAGUAGCGGCGAGCGAAACGGAAAGAGCCCAAACCAAGAAGCUUGCUUCUUGGGGUUGUAGGACACUCUAUACGGAGUUACAAAAGAAAGUUAUAAAUGAAGCGGUCUGGAAAGGCCCGCCAAAGACGGUAACAGCCCGGUAGUUGAAAUGGCUUUCCCUCCAGAGUGGAUCCUGAGUACGGCGGAACACGUGAAAUUCCGUCGGAAUCCGGGAGGACCAUCUCCCAAGGCUAAAUACUCCCUAGUGACCGAUAGUGAACCAGUACCGUGAGGGAAAGGUGAAAAGCACCCCGGAAGGGGAGUGAAACAGUUCCUGAAACCGUGUGCCUACAAGUAGUUAGAGCCCGUUAAUGGGUGAUAGCGUGCCUUUUGUAGAAUGAACCGGCGAGUUACGAUUUGUUGCAAGGUUAAGCGGAAAAAGCGGAGCCGUAGCGAAAGCGAGUCUGAAUAGGGCGCAUAAGUAACAGGUCGUAGACCCGAAACCAGGUGAUCUACCCAUGUCCAGGAUGAAGGUAAGGUAAUACUUACUGGAGGUCCGAACCCACGCACGUUGAAAAGUGCGGGGAUGAGGUGUGGGUAGCGGAGAAAUUCCAAUCGAACUUGGAGAUAGCUGGUUCUCUCCGAAAUAGCUUUAGGGCUAGCCUCGAGGUAAAGAGUCAUGGAGGUAGAGCACUGUUUGGACUAGGGGCCCUUCUCGGGUUACCGAAUUCAGAUAAACUCCGAAUGCCAUGUACUUAUACUCGGGAGUCAGACUGCGAGUGAUAAGAUCCGUAGUCGAAAGGGAAACAGCCCAGACCACCAGUUAAGGUCCCCAAAUAUAUGUUAAGUGGAAAAGGAUGUGGGGUUGCUUAGACA